UGGGAAUCCGCUUCCAGCUUCUCUGUUUCUGGAUACCGUGCAAAACACAGGCACCCCAGCCUGCUACCCACUUCUCAUCUUUCUCGGUGGAUGAUAGGUCGCCCGUGCAUCGAGGCUGGACCUUGCGGGCUGCCCGGUUGGAGUGGGACUUCCCUACCAUUCUGUGCUCUCUUGACCCUCAACUCAGUCAAAACUCAGCCUUCUCACACCUGGUCCUGUCCAUCAUCCAUCUGCUGAAGAACAGCAGAAUGCUGUAUCACUCAGACUCAUGGGACAUAACACCACUGCUGGAUGCCUGGUACAUUUAA
rnacentral:lncRNA from 1 species